UUUCAUAUAGCACUGAGGUUAAGAACAAGGAUAUUACGUAACACAUAUACACUACAUACAAGACAGGACUGGGGUUUAUGUAAGUUAACCGGAACUUUAGUUGGUUAUAUGUGAUCAUCUCGAUUUCAACAGCUGAGGAGUAAGGAAGCCAUUAUUUCUCAAGGGAAAUAUUUUGGUGCAACUGAUCGUAAUAAGUCUGGUGUUAAUUGUUUAUAAUACAAAUGUGACAUCAAAUGAGGCCUGAUUUGGCGAAACCGUUUUCCAAAUCUUUGUAAAUCUCUAUACGAAAAUUUGACGGCAAGAUUCUUAAGGAACAAAUGGACGAGGGGACAAGUGACAGGACUGCACAAAAUUCUCCAUCAAGCAACAUUCGCCAUAAUUAUUAAUGCAAUGCAAGCGCCGCCAUGUAACGUAUUUAUCCAUGGCUCCGUCGAUGGGGAUACGCGUAAACAUGUACUUGCAUGUAUCAGCUUAAAUAUGUAAGUAUUAUAGUGAAGAAAUGAAGACAAAAUUCGACACAUCUAAUUUAAAAAAUUUGGAACAUUGAUUCAAUCUAUUCAACAAAGAACUCCAUGACGAAAUAUGCUUUUUCCGAGAAUGUCAUUUUCGUCGUUUGUCGUUCAUCCAAUUCUUGUAAAUUUUCGCCUGUGGACUUACUUUCUCUGGACGUCAGGAAAUACGUACCGGUUUUUAAUUUAGUCUCUUUCUAAUGUAAUCUAUGACCAAACUGUAGGUUAUGUUUAGAAUAUGUUUAGAUUUUUAUUUCGAUAAGAUAUUUCCAUAUUUGGAAGACAAAAAAUACGCCUAUAAUUUAUUCGGAAAUAAGUAACGCUAUAUUAUAUCCAUUGAUCGCAAAAAUACUCGCCCUCCAUGGGCAUGAAAUUGGAAAACUUUUACAGUGGUAAAUAACUAUUAUCUCAAACGAGUUUUGUUUCAUAGCUUUGUACCAUGUCACCCAAGAUAUAUAAUCUGAUAAUCUCUUCACAUAAAUUUUCAAGUUUGUAGGAAACUAUGUUAUGUUAGCAAAUGUCCAGUUAGACUUACAAGCUUUCUACACUCAGCUAGAAAUUAUAGUAUUUGCUUUCAUAUUUUGUCAGAAAAAAUGACAAGAUAUGAGCAGCAGACCUUUCACUUGCAUUUCUGUUCCACUGUUUAUGAGACACCUUUUUGUAUAGAUCCUAGGCUUAGGAAUUUUCUCUACCCCAAAUUCCCCCGUUUACCUCUUUGAAACCGUAUUUGUAUACCUCCUUGAAACAAAAUAAGAAACACUUGGGUUAGUGCAGGAUUUAACCUGUCCGCUUAGGGGUAUGUAUUUUGGGACUAUGAAUUUUUUCGGCUGGUAACACUGGGGAGUACUUUUCGAUGUAAGAAAAGACAAACCUAAAAAAAAAUUGAGCUAGAGAAAUGCAUAUUAUUAUGAUACACUCGGACUACGUAGUUUUUUGUGACGCAUGUCACACGGUGUGACACACUAGAAUUGCUGGAAAAUCAUUCAUUAGUGUAGGUGUUUUUUGGCGAUUUACAGUUAAUUGACCUCAAAGCACACGAGUUCAUGGUACAUUAAUAAAGCAUAAAUUACUAGAAAUA